CAAGUCGAGGGGUAUAGUUCUUCGGAAUUAGAGACCGGCGCACGGGUGCGUAACGCGUAUGCAAUCUACCUUUUACAGAGGGAUAGCCCAGAGAAAUUUGGAUUAAUACCUCAUAGCAUUGCAGAAUGGCAUCAUUCAGCAAUUAAAGUCACAACGGUAAAAGAUGAGCAUGCGUCCCAUUAGCUAGUUGGUAAGGUAACGGCUUACCAAGGCUACGAUGGGUAGGGGUCCUGAGAGGGAGAUCCCCCACACUGGUACUGAGACACGGACCAGACUCCUACGGGAGGCAGCAGUGAGGAAUAUUGGACAAUGGGCGCAAGCCUGAUCCAGCCAUGCCGCGUGCAGGAUGACGGUCCUAUGGAUUGUAAACUGCUUUUAUACAGGAAGAAACCCUGGUUCGUGAACCAGCUUGACGGUACUGUAAGAAUAAGGAUCGGCUAACUCCGUGCCAGCAGCCGCGGUAAUACGGAGGAUCCAAGCGUUAUCCGGAAUCAUUGGGUUUAAAGGGUCCGUAGGCGGUUUAAUAAGUCAGUGGUGAAAGCCCAUCGCUCAACGGUGGAACGGCCAUUGAUACUGUUAAACUUGAAUUAUUAGGAAGUAACUAGAAUAUGUAGUGUAGCGGUGAAAUGCUUAGAGAUUACAUGGAAUACCAAUUGCGAAGGCAGGUUACUACUAAUAUAUUGACGCUGAUGGACGAAAGCGUGGGUAGCGAACAGGAUUAGAUACCCUGGUAGUCCACGCCGUAAACGAUGGAUACUAGCUGUUGGGAGCAAUCUCAGUGGCUAAGCGAAAGUGAUAAGUAUCCCACCUGGGGAGUACGUUCGCAAGAAUGAAACUCAAAGGAAUUGACGGGGGCCCGCACAAGCGGUGGAGCAUGUGGUUUAUUCGAUGAUACGCGAGGAACCUUACCAAGGCUUAAAUGUAGUUUGACCGAUUUGGAAACAGAUUUUUCGCAAGACAAAUUACAAGGUGCUGCAUGGUUGUCGUCAGCUCGGUGCCGUGAGGUGUCAGGUUAAGUCCUAU
rnacentral:rRNA from 1 species